AUCUGCGAUGUAUAAAGGAAAGCAUCGCGGAUCUCAACGGGUUAGGAGUCCCGUGUCCCAGAGUCCCGAUUUGCCCAGCGUACGUUUUUCUCUGUGUCGCCACUGGGAAGUGACCUGCAGCUAUGAGUUCGGACGCGGAGAUGGCGGUUUUUGGGGUCGCUGCACCCGUC